UAAGGAAUAUUGGUCAAUGGGCGCAAGCCUGAACCAGCCAUGCCGCGUGCAGGAUGAAGCAUCUAUGGUGUGUAAACUGCUUUUGUGCGGGAAGAAACCACCCCUCGUGAGGGGUAUUGACGGUACCGUAAGAAUAAGGAUCGGCUAACUCCGUGCCAGCAGCCGCGGUAAUACGGAGGAUCCAAGCGUUAUCCGGAAUCAUUGGGUUUAAAGGGUCCGUAGGCGGUUUAAUAAGUCAGUGGUGAAAGCCCAUCGCUCAACGAUGGAACGGCCAUUGAUACUGUUAGACUUGAAUUACAAGGAAGUAACUAGAAUAUGUAGUGUAGCGGUGAAAUGCUUAGAUAUUACAUGGAAUACCAAUUGCGAAGGCAGGUUACUACUAAUGGAUUGACGCUGAUGGACGAAAGCGUGGGGAGCGAACA
rnacentral:rRNA from 1 species